AAAGCAAAGUUCCAGGUUAAGUCAAUUUAGCUCACUGAAAAAGCUAAGAAAACCAAACAGUGUUUACAUAAAUUUUUGGAAAAAAACAAAAAACAUUUUCCCCUAGUGAAACUGAUCAUAGAUUAGUCAGAAAAUACUAAGUCUUUUACAGACUAAGAAUUACUUAUGUUGAUUUUUGGGAUGUGUGUUGGAUGAAUCGUUUGCACACGCCUGUGCAAAGCUUAUCUGGAUAUGCCCACACUUUUCUUCUGCCAAUGUACGGUAUAUGCCUAAAAAUCAGAUCCUGAUUGAGUAAAAUAACUGCUGUCAUUGUAAAGAAAGAAAAUUACAUGAUUGAAGAAGGAAUGUUGACAUCUGAUACGACUGAUGAGGGCAAAAGGAAAAUCAACACUGCAAAUUCAGAAAAAUUUUGAGGGACUUGGACGUCUCUAAGGUAUCACUUCAAAGAGCAACGGGACCACAAACCCCUUCCCAAGAAACUCAGCAAUGACAUUCUAAUGGCCAUUGAUGAAAUGAUGAGGCUGACGGAUGAGAUGACAGCUGAAAUCGUUCAGAAUAUUUAAAAUUUUGGCAAUAUCCCGGAUAUGAAAGAGGGAAACCCCAGCAACCUGUCUAAUAUGGGAGUUAAUAGACAUGUCCUGAUCAUAAUUAAAUGCUGAGAUCCAAAACUUUCUGGCACAAUGACCCUAAAGAAGUCCACAAGCUGAAACCCAUUUGUCUGAUAAUAAAGUUUGUUCAUAAUAAAUUAACGCGAAUGGUUUUUACAUUAUUACUGGAGGUCAAGUUAAUGUUUAUUGUGCUGUUUCUGUUUCAAAUACUCU